GGAUGCAGCUCAGUGGUAGAGCAUGUGCCUAGCAUAUGCAAAGCACUGGGUUCAAUCCCCCAGCACCCA
rnacentral:tRNA from 1 species